GGAAGUGUGGCAGAGCGGCCGAAUGCACCCGCCUUGAAAGCGGAUGACUUGCGACGGACCUUCCGAGCAGUCUUCCCCGCUUGCU
rnacentral:tRNA from 1 species